AUUGAACGCUGGCGGCAGGCCUAACACAUGCAAGUCGAGCGAGCGGCGGACGGGUGAGUAAUGUCUGGGGACUGCCCGAUCGAGGGGGAUACCUACUGGAAACGGUGGCUAAUACCGCAUACUAUCGGAUAACCCAUAUGGGUUUAGCUAGUAGGUGGGGGAAAGGCUCACCUAGGCGACGAGCGCUAGCUGGUCUGAGAGGAUGAUCAGCAACACUGGGACCGAUACAUGGCCCAGACGCCUACGGAGGCAGCAGUGGGUAAUAGUGCACAAUGGGCGCAAGCCGGAUGCAGCCAUGCCGCGUGUAUGAAGAAGGCCUUAGGGUUGUAAAGUACGUUCAGCGGGGAGGCGUUACCCGCAGAAGAAGCACCGGCUAACUCCGUGCCAGCAGCCGCGGUAAUAC
rnacentral:rRNA from 1 species